GAUACACAGCCUGGUGCAGAGGUGAUCAAAGUAUACAAGGCCUGCAGGCCAAAUCCAACCCACUGCCUGAUUUUGUAAAUACAGGCUUUUUUUAGAACCUGCAGCUGCCCUAAUUCAUUGAUGAAUUGUCUAUGGUGCUUUUGCAUUACAAUAGCAGAGGCCCUCUCAGAGCCUUUAAGAAGCCAGUAAGGAAAUCCAGCUGCAUUUCCCUGGAAACCUGUUGUCAUGGAGUGUCCCCGAUGCUGGGAUGCAUGUACCUGAGGGCACAUGAAGACUUCUCAAGGGAUACAGUCAGCAGUGUUCGUGGAGCCCCUACACUGUCCCAGACACGAUCCUAGAAGCAGGAAAUACAGCAAGGAACAAGACAGGCAACCAGGGAGGAAGGCUCUCCUCUGUGACACGUGAAAAGUCCAGCUGAUGUCCAUUUUCCCCUGUGCAAGUCAUUAGCACACAGAGCCACCAAUGUCAAGUCCUUCCACUGACCGCACACCAGAUCAUCAAGUAAAUCUUUUGCAAGGCCUGCUACAGCAACAAAGGAAGGGAGAAAUAUACUGGCAGGGUGAUGGCGCAGCAUCCCAGAUGCUACAAACAGCGGGAGUAAAUGGAACGCGACAUUUCUUCCCCAGCACUGGGCGGAGGAGGCUAUUAGUAAAUUGACUAAGAGCUCACACACGCCUGGAGCAGCAGCAGUGAGAUCUCCACUGCUGGGCCAACCUUUGGUUUUUAAAUACAUUCUGCCCACAGGUGGCCCAAUGUUUUCUCCAAAUUGUUUCUUGUCAACAAAUGAGCUCACCCCUCACCCCCUACUUUUCGCCCCAAAGCAUUGCAAAUUCUACCUCUACCCUGUGAGCAAAACAAAAGUGGAUUUCUAGUGGAAGAAAAUGCAUUAUAUAUUCUUUUAUUUCUUCCACAUUCUCCUCGUUGGAUUGGCAUUGAUUCAUGUGGCAAACUUAUUCCCUAAGGAAAAGGCUUUACUAAUAUAGAAAUGCUAAACAAUA